UUAAUGCCUCAAGAGGGUGGUAUUCAGCAUAAAGAAACCGAUUUUUUGCCUAGUUUCAGAAGCACCAUCUUCGCUGCUAAUUUGUCUGUGCAUGUAGGUUUUUCUUUAAAUCCUGGUUCUUUUUUGAUGAAUACCGCCUGAAUGGAGGGAUGACACAGGCCUAUACCAAACAGCCCAAUAAUAUCUGUCUAAAGUUAUGUGUUUUGAUAUUUACAGCUGCGUACAAAAAUGCGGACGGAAAGAAAAUAGAUGGGAAACGAGUCUUGGUGGAUGUAGAACGAGCGCGAACUGUUAAAGGAUGGCUGCCUCGUCGUUUGGGUGGAGGCCUUGGGGGAACUCGUCGUGGAGGUCCGGAUGUUAAUCUAAAGCACUCUGGUCGAGAAGAUAAUGAAAGGGAACGCGAACGAUACCGCCUUGAGCGAGAAAGAGAAAUGGCAGGUGGUGAUCGACGGGUUGACCGCGAUCGUCGGCGGAGUAGAUCGCGCGAUAGAGGAGAUAGAGACCGCAGGGAUCGCGAUCGUGAUAGGGACCGUGAUCGCGAACGUAGGAGACGCUCGAGGAGUCGCUCUCGAGAUCGUAGAAGGCAUAGGAGUAGAGAACGCGUUCGAGACCCUGAUAUUGAAGAAAUUGAGGAAAGACCCAGAGACCGUGAUCGUGACCGUGAUAGGAAACGCAGGCGCAGUCGGUCGAAAGAUAGGGACCGUAAACGUGACCGCAAGGACAGAGACAGGACCGUGAUAGGGAUAAGGACAAAGAUAGGUAAGUUCACUUUUCAUUAUAAAGUUCCUGAGUUUAGACAAGGUUUAAGUCUGGAAAAUGUAAGUUAAAAUACCUACAUCAAUUUUACAUGAUUGAAUUGUCUCUUUUUAAUCACUUUUUGUCAGUCAUUUGCGAUUCUCGUUAAUUUAUCCUUUACCUUCAAUGUAAGUGUUCCUUGAAAGUAAUAAC
rnacentral:lncRNA from 1 species